GAUGAACGCUGGCGGCGUGCCUAAUACAUGCAAGUCGAGCGAACAGACGAGGAGCUUGCUCCUCUGACGUUAGCGGCGGACGGGUGAGUAACACGUGGAUAACCUACCUAUAAGACUGGGAUAACUUCGGGAAACCGGAGCUAAUACCGGAUAAUAUAUUGAACCGCAUGGUUCAAUAGUGAAAGACGGUUUUGCUGUCCCUUAUAGGUGGAUCCGCGCCGUAACGGCUAGUCGGUAAGGUAACGGCUUACCAAGGCAGCGAUGGGUAGCGGACCUGUGGAGGUGGAACGCGACAUUGGGACCGAGGGGAGGCACCGGCAGCGAAGGGAGGCCGCUGGGGGGAAUCCUGACCGAGGGGCGCCAGCCUGAUGCAGCGACGCCGCGUGGCGGAUGACGGCCUUCGGGUUGUAAACUACUUGCGCUAGGGACGAAGCUUUUUGUGACGGUACCUAGAUAAGAAGCACCGGCUAACUACGUG
rnacentral:rRNA from 1 species